GGGAGAUGGCUGGGCAGAGAGAGGAGGCAGGAGGAAACAGGAACUGAGUCUCUUUUCCACUGGAAGCUAGUGAGAUUCUGGACAAAUGCCUGUGAGUAACACAGAUGGAAUCCAUGCCUGCAGCAAAUCUCUCCUGUUUUGGAAGAUGGGCAGUGAAUAAAUCAAAUAAAGCAAUGUGGAAAGUCA